rnacentral:rRNA from 1 species
AACGAACGCUGGCGGUAUGCUUAACACAUGCAAGUCGAACGGACUUCAGGUCUUCGGACCGAAAAGUUAGUGGCAAACGGGUGAGUAAUACAGAGGAAUCUACCUAGCAGUACGGAAUAACCCUGGGAAACCAGAGCUAAUACCGUAUAUUACCGAUUUAUCGGGAAAGAUUUAUCGCUGUUAGAUGAGCCUCUGCCGGAUUAGCUUGUUGGUAGGGUAAUGGCCUACCAAGGCAAUGAUCCGUAGCUGGUCUGAGAGGAUGAUCAGCCACACUGGAACUGAGACACGGUCCAGACUCCUACGGGAGGCAGCAGUGGGGAAUAUUGGACAAUGGGCGCAAGCCUGAUCCAGCAAUACCGCGUGAGUGAUGACGGCCUUCGGGUUGUAAAACUCUUUUAGUAGGGAAGAUAAUGACGGUACCUACAGAAAAAGCACCGGCAAACUUCG